UGAAUGUACAGGUUUAUGCCCAAUUAUGACUAGUAGCCGACCAGAAAAGCAAGUUCGAGGCAGCAUUUCAAUUGAUAGAUACUUCUUAAUACACAAGACCAACUAGUUACAAAAAACUCUGGUUAAACUAAGAUGUUUUAACUACACUUUCCAAGGAAUCCCCUUCAUUUCCAAAAUACAAACAAUAAAAUUAACCGCUAAACCUAAUAACUCAAAAAAAUAUUGA